ACGAACGCUGGCGGCGUGCUUCACACCUGCAAGUCGUACGGUAAGGCCCUUUCGGGGGUACACGAGUGGCGAACGGGUGAGUAACACGUGAGUAACCUGCCCACAACUUUGGGAUAACGCUAGGAAACUGGUGCUAAUACUGGAUAUGUGCUCCUGCUGCAUGGUGGGGGUUGGAAAGCUCCGGCGGUUGUGGAUGGACUCGCGGCCUAUCAGCUUGUUGGUGGGGUAGUGGCCUACCAAGGCGGCGACGGGUAGCCGGCCUGAGAGGGUGACCGGCCACAUUGGGACUGAGAUACGGCCCAGACUCCUACGGGAGGCAGCAGUGGGGAAUAUUGCACAAUGGGCGCAAGCCUGAUGCAGCAACGCCGCGUGCGGGAUGACGGCCUUCGGGUUGUAAACCGCUUUCAGCAGGGACGAAGCUUUUUGUGACGGUACCUGCAGAAGAAGCACCGGCUAACUACGUG
rnacentral:rRNA from 1 species